GAUGAACGCUGGCGGCGUGCCUAAUACAUGCAAGUCGAGCGAACGGACGAGAAGCUUGCUUCUCUGAUGUUAGCGGCGGACGGGUGAGUAACACGUGGAUAACCUACCUAUAAGACUGGGAUAACUUCGGGAAACCGAAGCUAAUACCGGAUAAUAUUUUGAACCGCAUGGUUCAAAAGUGAAAGACGGUCUUGCUGUCACUUGUAGAUGGAUCCGCGCUGCAUUAGCUAGUUGGUAAGGUAACGGCUUACCAAGGCAACGAUGCAUAGCCGACCUGAGAGGGUGAUCGGCCACACUGGAACUGAGACACGGUCCAGACUCCUACGGGAGGCAGCAGUAGGGAAUCUUCCGCAAUGGGCGAAAGCCUGACGGAGCAACGCCGCGUGAGUGAUGAAGGUCUUCGGAUCGUAAAACUCUGUUAUUAGGGAAGAACAUAUGUGUAAGUAACUGUGCACAUCUUGACGGUACCUAAUCAGAAAGCCACGGCUAACUACGUG
rnacentral:rRNA from 1 species